rnacentral:RNase_P_RNA from 1 species
CAAGUAGAGAGGGUGAUCGCCUUUCGGGCUUGACCCGGAAGGAGGAAAGUCCGAGCACCACAGGGCAGCGUGCUUCCUAACGGGAAGGGGGGGUGACCCUACGGAAAGUGCCACAGAAAAUAUACCGCCUGAGACUUCUCAGGUAAGGGUGAAAAGGUGGGGUAAGAGCCCACCGCUUCGAUGGUGACAUCGAGGGCACGGU